GAUGAACGCUGGCGGCGUGCCUAAUACAUGCAAGUCGGGCGAAUGGAUUAAGAGCUUGCUCUUAUGAAGUUAGCGGCGGACGGGUGAGUAACACGUAGGUAACCUGCCCAUAAGACUGGGAUAACUCCGGGAAACCGGGGCUAAUACCGGAUAACAUUUUGAACCGCAUGGUUCGAAAUUGAAAGGCGGCUUCGGCUGUCACUUAUGGAUGGACCCGCGUCGCAUCAGCUAGUUGGUGAGGUAACGGCUCACCGAGGCAACGAUACGUAGCCGACCUGAGAGGGUGGUCGGCCACACUGGGACUGAGACACGGCCCAGACUCCUACGGGAGGCAGCAGUAGGGAAUCUUCCGCCAUGGACGAAAGUCUGACGGAGCAACGCCGCGUGAGUGAUGAAGGCUUUCGGGUCGUAAAACUCUGUUGUUAGGGAAGAACAAGUGCUAGUUGAAUAAGCUGGCACCUUGACGGUACCUAACCAGAAAGCCACGGCUAACUACGUGCCAGCCGCCGCCGUAA
rnacentral:rRNA from 1 species